rnacentral:rRNA from 1 species
AUGCACGCUGGCGGCGUGCCUAAUACAUGCAAGUCGAGCGCACAGAUGAGGAGCUUGCUCCUCUGACGUUAGCGGCGGACGGGUGAGUAACACGUGGAUAACCUACCUAUAAGACUGGGAUAACUUCGGGAAACCGGAGCUAAUACCGGAUAAUAUAUUGAACCGCAUGGUUCAAUAGUGAAAGACGGUUUUGCUGUCACUUAUAGAUGGAUCCGCGCUGCAUUAGCUAGUUGGUAAGGUAACGGCUUACCAAGGCAACGAUGCGUAGCCGACCUGAGAGGGUGAUCGGCCACACUGGAACUGAGACACGGUCCAGACUCCUACGGGAGGCAGCAGUAGGGAAUCUUCCGCAAUGGGCGAAAGCCUGACGGAGCAACGCCGCGUGAGUGAUGAAGGUCUUCGGAUCGUAAAACUCUGUUAUUAGGGAAGAACAAAUGUGUAAGUAACUAUGCACGUCUUGACGGUACCUAAUCAGAAAGCCACGGCUAACUACGUG